rnacentral:lncRNA from 1 species
AGAAAGAGAGAGAGCAGGAGAGAGAGAGACAGACAGAAUCCACUAGUAGAAUAAGCCAUGAUCACCACUCAAAACUUGUUGCUACUACUUGAUCAGUACCUGGAAUUCUGAGGAAAACCCUAUUAGAGAUUGCAAAUCCAGUAAAUAAAGGCAGCAGUGGUACCUUGUUAAAAACAUCAAAUCCAAAGUGCUCUGAGGAGGAAUAUGUACGGUGUGUUCUAGGGACAGAAAAUAAGACAAACGUGGCUGGAGUAUUGGAAGGGGAAGUGAGUGUUACUAGAGAAGGUCAUGAGGUGAG